GUGAAACCGCGAAUGGCUCAUUAAAUCACACCUAAUGUACUGGACAGUUUCAGUUACUUGGAUAACUGCGGUAAUUCUGGAGCUAAUACAUGCGCACGAGCCCCGACUCACGGAGGGGCGCUUUUAUUAGACUAAAACCAAACGGCCUCGGCCGUCCCACUGGUGAAUCUGAAUAACUUUGAGCGGAUCGCACGGCCUCGCGCCGGCGACGUGUCCUUCCAAGGUGUGCCCUAUCAACUGUCGACUGUGGCAUAGACGCCCACAGUGGUUUUGACGGGUAACGGGGAAUUAGGGUUCGAUUCCGGAGAGGGAGCCUGAGAAACGGCUACCACUUCUAAGGAAGGCAGCAGGCACGCAAAUUACCCACUGGCCGAAGGCCGAGGUAGUGACGAAAAAUAACGAUACCAGACUCAUCCGAGGCCUGGUAAUCGGAAUGAGCACACUUUAAAUCCUUUAGCGAGGAACCAUUGGAGGGCAAGUCUGGUGCCAGCAGCCGCGGUAAUUCCAGCUCCAAUAGCGUAUAUUAAAGUUGUUGUGGUUAAAAAGCUCGUAGUUGGAUCUCGGCGGGCAGGGGGCGGUCCGUUAUUUGACGCGACUGCCCCGUUUGUCCGUGUAUCUCUGGCGGAACUCGCCGGGUGCUCUUCGCCGAGUGUCCGGUCGGGGCCGCCGCUUUUACUUUGAAAAAAUUAGAGUGCUCCAAGCAGGCUCGACACGCCUGAAUAUCCGUGCAUGGAAUAAUGGAAUAGGACGUCGUUCCUAUUUUGUUGGUUUUAGGGAAUCGACGUAAUGAUUAAUAGGGACAGCCGGGGGCAUUAGUAUUCAGGCGACAGAGGUGAAAUUCUUGGACCGUCUGGCGACU
rnacentral:rRNA from 1 species